GGCCAACUUGAUCCUCUUCCCCAGAGAUCUCAGAUGAGGGAACCCUGGGAGAGCCGCCGACUCCAACUACCAUCCAUGUACGAUCCAUACUAGAUCUGACCAACUGCCCAUCCUACCUCCUCUACGUUCUUGACAGCCCAUCUUUGUCUCAGUAGAGUCUUUCAGUGGCACGUUUCGGUCAUCUUCCCCAUUACUUAGAAAAAGUGAGCCACCGGUUUUCCGGAUCUAUGCUUAUUUUCAACUCCCCGAAGCAUUUCAUCGAUUACUACGCCCUUCCUCGUCUCUGGGUGCCUAGGUAUCCACCGUAAGCCUUUCCAUAGUUCCGGAAUUUAUACACGAAUCAAGAUCUAUAAAAGGAAGUUAUACAAUCAUUCAUAGCACAAGACUUUACUACUCAAGCUGCAUUAUAUACCCACCACCAAUAUAUCGCAGGAUUCAUCAUGACAGGAGCUUUUGCUAUAUGUAAUUAUAUAAAACAAAGACUUCUGCAUCCCGUCCAUAUUUGGGCUAUGACUGUACUAUCAAGUCUUAAGACUAAUGGUACAUUCAACCAACAACGUCCGUUGAAGUAUCUAAGACUCGGAAGCAGUUUCUAUUUCUACAUCUCUUUCUUCCUCACUUUCCACCCUUUCUUCUGUUUUUUAGGCUUCUUUCAGUUUCUUAGUAAGAAUGGGUGAGGGUAUUCUGCCUAAAUAGUCCAAUUUUGAACUUUUUUGUAUUCCUUGGAAUUUCUUUUUCCUGUUCCUGGUGGUGGGUCGCUUACCAAUGUCAGUAAUUGAUGAUUACACAAUUCGAACAAUUUCGAAUUUACCUCAAAUAAACAAUGAAUAAACCCUUAAUUUGAUUCAAAAAAAUUACAAAUUACGAAGGCUUAGUUGGUCACAUUUUAUUCAUGAAAUGGCUUGGAUUGGUAUUAGUCUGGAUACAGCAAAAUCAUUCUAUUAGAUCGAAUAAGUACAUUCGAUCCAAGAACGAAGUAAUCUUUUACUUUAGUUAAAGAACCUUUUUCUGAGAAAGGAGAAUAGGAAUGAAAUAAAAAAAUAGAAAUAGAAAGAAAAGAAGCUAAUUGCAAAAAGAAAAAGGAGGGAUGUCUUUUUUUGUUUUUAAAAGAACCGGACAGAAGACAGGCCCCAUUGUGAUACCUCGUGCAAGUUAUAGUUAAUGACCUGAAAGAAGUCACUAGCUUCUUGCUAUCGAGCGUGCCUUAGCCUUAGUUUACAAAGGAAGCUUUGUCGUACUUAGAAAAGGAUGGUUUAGCACCUAGUGCAACUGCUCCUGGUGCAACAGCAAGCACCAGUUUAACUUGGGGGGUGGUGAUUUAGUGGCAGUGGGUGGCAAGCCAUAUUCGUAGUAUAUGUAGAUGGAGUAAAAGGGUACAAACUUUGGUGUUUGUCUUUACUUAAAUUUAUAGUUAGUAGAGAUGUUACCUUUGAUGAAUCCUCUAUACUUGAUCCACGUAAAGUUUCUGUGGAGUUAUCAAGAAAUGAGAACAACGAGCAGGUGGAGCUAUCGGUGGAGCAUACCAAGAAAUGGGAUAGAGACUCAAAUUGAUGAGUCAAAAGAUGCAGAUCUUGAAGAACUUGCUUCUAAUGAACCAUACACAAUUGCGAAGGGAAGGGACAAAAGGUAGAUACGGAAACCAGAACGUCUUAUAGAGCAAGAAAAUCUAAUUUCAUAUGAAUUCGUAGCUGCAUAAGAACAGAUUAAGGAUCUCGAGCCCUUUUCGUAUGUUGAAGUAACUUCUUGCAAAUAUGCUGCACAAUAGCAGUUAGCCAUGAUGAAGAAAUAUAGUAUGUUCACAAAAAUGAGACAUGGAUCUUAGUUAAAAGGCCAAAGAAGAUGAGGACAGUUGGAUGCAAAUGGGUCUACAUAAAGAAAGAAGGCAUUCCAGAAGUGUAAUAUGCUAGGUUUAAGGCGAGAUUGGUUGCAAAGGGUUUCAGUCAAAAAAAGGGAAUUGAUUAUAAUGAUAUCUUAUCUCCAGUCGUGAAACAUAACUCAAUUUGCGUGCUACUAGCAUUGGUUGCACAAUUUGAUUUAGAGUUUCAAGAACUUGAUGUAAAAACUGCUAUCUUACAUGGUGGUCUAAAAGAGACAAUCUAGAUGGAUCAGCCUGAAGGUUUCUUAGCUGAAGGAAAAGAAGACCAUGUAUGCCAACUGAAUAAGCCUUUGUAUGGUUUGAAGCAAUCCCCUAGACAGUGGUACAAGAGAUUUGAUACAUUCAUGACUACACAUGGACUUUUGAGGAGUGCAUUUUAUAGUUGUGUGUAUCACAAGAAGAUGUCUGGUAAUUCUAUGAUUUAUCUAUUGUUGUAUGUUGAUAUGCUUAUUGCUGCUAACAACAUCACAGAUAUAAAUAUUUUAAAGAAACUUUUAAACAAGAAAUUUGAUAUGAAAGAUUUGGGACUUCCAAAGAAAAUUCUUGGAAUAGAGAUUACAAGAGAAAAUGGUGCUAUACAUCUUUCUCAAAAGAGGUACAUUGAAAAAGUUCUUGAGAGAUUCAAUAUGCAUAUGAGCAAGCCUGUAAGUACACCAUUAGCUCCUCAUUUCAAGAUUUCAGGGUUACAAAAGCCUUAGUCUAUGAAUGAGGUGGAGCAUAUGUCAAAGUUCCUUUUGCGAGCCCAGUUGGUUGCAUAAUGUAUGCUAUGGUGUGCACAUGUCCAGAUAUUGCUCAAUAUCUAAGUGUGGUAAGUAGAUACAUGACAAAUCCAGGAAAAAGGCACUGGGAAUUUGUCAAGUGGAUAUUGAGAUAUCUCAAAGGAGCUCUUGAUGUUGGUCUAACCUUUCAGAAAAUUGAAGGUAUUUCAUUUCUUGGUUAUGUAGAUUCUGACUAUGCAGGGGAUCUUGAUCGAAGGAGGUCCACAAGUGGAUACAUCUUUACUCUCGUUGGCAGUGUCGUUAGUUGGAAAUCGACUUUACAGUCGAUUGUCGCUUUGUCUACAACAGAGGAAGAAUAUAUGGCAGCAACAGAGGCAAUGAAAGAAGCUAUCUGGUUGAAAGGUUUGGUGGUAGAAUUGAAUUCGGUUCAGCUUGAAUCAAUUCUUAGAUGUGAUAGUCAAAGUGAGGCCCAUUUACUUAUGUUUUCUCGUAUGAAUCUUUUGUCUCUGGCUAUUGAGGAUCCCAUUUUUGUGCCAAUGCAAGAUAUGCUUAUUGGAAUCAUUAGUUUACCCCCAUCUAUAUGAAUGAUCGGUCUCAACUUAGGAGGAAAAAUUGGUAAUAGACACAAAACCAUCCAUUCGGGCCUAUUCAUUUGGUUAAAAACCAAAGAUUUUAUGAGCGCAUCAAACAUAUUGAUGUCAGAUUCCAUUUUAUUCGAGUUGUCGUAGAAGAGGGAGCUAUCAAGUUUGAGAAGGUUAUCACAGACGAUAACGCUGCAGACAUAUUGACCAAAAUAGUCCCGCUUGCCAUGUUUGCACACUGCAAAGACUUGGCGGGAGUAUGCAUCAAUUGAUGCAAUUGUAAGAGAACAACUGCUAGGCGGAGAUGAUAUGUUCAACAGAGGUUUUAUUCUUAUUGUUUCUUACAAUGGGAUUGCCCAGUAAGCUUAGAACUUGUGGCUGGAGUUCUUUAUAUGCAUGCUUGGAACACACACCAAGGUGGAGAUUGAAAGAGUAGGUUCGGUUCUUGUGGAAUCAAACUAAAUGGAAGAUUAAUUGACAUGAAUAUUUGGUAGGAAAAUAAUUAGUAAAAAAUAAAAGUCAAGAUAGCAUCUUGGUAGGUGAAGUUUAGGCAAACCAUAAAAUGGUUUCAUAUUUUUAACCUUAACAUUUUUUACAUAUAGUGAUGUCAUAGAUGACAUCAAUACGAUAAAUUCAUUCCUAUAAAUAGGUAACUCUUAAUUCAUUUUCAAUAACAUCCUCUCACUUGCCUUCUCACCUUCUAAGACAUUAGCGUUCUCUAUCUUGUAGUAUUUCACUUGUAUUCUUUGUAGAGUGAAAUACAUAUUGGUGUAGUUAUUCUUUGGUGGACGUAGGAUCAUUUUGAUAUGAACCACGUUAAAUAUUGUUGUUCUUCCUUAUUCUUUAAUUUCACGUUUCCUUUAACAAAGUUAUUCCUAUUGUAUCCAGGUGCAAACUUUUCUUUGAUACCACAUAUUUUCCUCCAGUACCAGCAACUAUCAGCCAUUGGUCGAUAUUGUCAUGAGUCACUUCCCUCCAAAUAAAUAUGGUUCACCCAUUUAACCCAUAAAUUUUCACCCUUCUUAGCUAUAUUCCACAUAUACUUUGCUAUUGCUGCUUCAUUCCUUUUCGUACACUCCAUUAUGCCCAAUCCACCUUCAUUUUUACUUCGACAUACAUCCUUCCAAGCUAUGAGUGGUGAUUUUAAAGUGUUCUCUUGACCACUCCAUAGAAAACUUCUGCAUAUUGCUGUAAUGUUCUUUAACACAUUCUUAAACAUGAGUAUUGGUUAAAAAAAAGAUAAAUACGGAAUCGAUGACACAUGGCAUUUUCCCCAAACAAUUAUAUGAUGAUCUAUGUGGUUGGUUAAUGUUUUAAUUCUAUAUUAUGCUUCUUGUAUUAUACUCUCAGAAUUGUUCACAUCUUAUAGUUGAUUUAUUUGAGCAUUCUUAUCUGUCUAUUUAUUAUUCUAUUUGUUUAUAUGUAUAAUGUAGUGACGUUUGCGUGCAAUAACAUGUACACAUGCUCAGAAGGAGAGGAUUUUUAGAAAGGCAGGCCCUGCUCAUGUGUCCUAUAAUUUUGUGUAUAUAUAGCUCGUGCCUCGUAGAAGGAGGAACAUGUGUAUACAAAUUUCAUUAUGCCAACAUGGCACAAGUCUAGACCUAGUUAUGCUUAGGUUAAGGUACAAG
rnacentral:lncRNA from 1 species